UACCGGCCAGGAAUAACAUAUAUUGUGGUGCAAAAAAGACAUCACACACGACUCUUCUGUGCAGAUAAAACAGAAAGGGUAGGGAAAAGUGGCAAUGUACCAGCAGGCACUACAGUGGAUAGUACCAUCACACAUCCAUCUGAGUUUGACUUUUACCUCUGUAGUCAUGCAGGAAUUCAGGGAACCAGCCGUCCCUCACAUUACCAGGUCUUGUGGGAUGACAACUGCUUCACUGCAGAUGAACUCCAGCUACUGACUUACCAGCUGUGUCACACCUAUGUGAGGUGCACUCGCUCAGUCUCUAUUCCAGCCCCUGCAUAUUAUGCCCGGCUUGUAGCAUUUAGGGCAAGGUAUCAUCUGGUGGAUAAAGAUCAUGACAGGCAAGUUUCUUAGGCACAAUAAAGUCUCUUUAUAUUUUAGUAGCAUGUUAAAAAAAUGAACUACGAUAGAAAACUUUUUUAAGGAUUUAAACUUUCAGAGUUUAAAUUGUAAGGAGCAAAUAAAAUUGCAUGUGCCUCUGA
rnacentral:sRNA from 1 species